GGACCCCUGAAGUCAGGCGUGGGUACAGCCUUGUGCUGUACGAUGGGGCGACCCACUCUUGAUUUCAGUGGUUG
rnacentral:pre_miRNA from 1 species